GAUCAUCAUAACACAAUGUCACCCCAGGGAGUGCCCACAUUUUAGCUUGCUUGUUGCUGGGGAAAAGACUUGCUGCUUUGUGUUUCAUUUGAUGAAGAGCUUCUUUUCAUUUAGUCAGUCACUUAUUUCCAGAGAUUUCCUGGUGAUGUUGCCUCACAUUUAUUUGUGGAAAUGCCAGUAUGUUUUAAGCUUGCAGCUUCCAUAAGUCAGGAUUCCAGUCACAGCUUAGCUGGAUCCUCUCAGAAGGCUACGAUCAAGGUGUCAGCCAGACUGAGUUCUCAUCAGAGGCUCGACUAGGAGAGGAUCUGCUUCCAAGUUCCCUCAGGUUGUUGGAAGGAUUCAUUUUCUUGUGGCUAAGCUCACAGGAGCUUUCUUCUUCAAGGGCAUCAGGAGAGUGGAGAGCGAGUCUACUCAAAGACUUCUAUACAAAUCAUAAGGUCAAACUCCCAAGAGUUUGAGGUCGAAUUUGAUGGAACACCCAGAUGUCCUCAGCUGCCAUGGAGAAUACUUACCAUAUUUGCUUGCAUAUUUUCCCUAUUAUACUGGCAGACACUUUUAGUUGUUAACAUAGAGGAAAGAGGUGAAUUAAGGAGGUAACCUAUUAAUCACUGUAGCUUGGGGCCAAUAUCAACUUUGAUGUAACCCAAGGCUUUCGGCUUUAUUAUAUUUUUUUUCAGAAAGAAGCCAUUGUUUCACAUGUGGCUAAUAAAAUAAUAAUAAUAAAGAUAGUAAUAAUAGAAGAAAAAGAGCUGACACUCACUGAGCACCUACUAUCCCCACUAUACAAGCAUACACACACACACACACACACACACACACACAUUUUGCCUCUUGUCUUUAUCGCUGUCAUCACCUCAUCACACACUUAUUCUCCUCUCUUCUGGUAAAACUAGCAAAGGUACCUGUUGAAGCCUACAGAAGUCUUGGAGAUGCAUUGGUUUGAUGUGAAAUGCCUUCACAGUGUGGAAGUGUGGCUCUAACUAAAGAUUUCUCAGCAUGGUCCAAAUGUUUGCAGCAUUAUGUAGGGGGUCUGGCAAAUGAUGAAAUUGUGCAAAAGGAUCUGCCUGGGGUUGUGGGUGGGGAAGGAUAUUUCCUUUUUAAAGACCUAACUUCUCUCCUAAACAGCAAGAGCAGGAAAUAACAGCCCCGUGAAUUUAAAAAAUAUGAAAAGACUACCAGGACUGGAAACCCUAGCACAUAGCAACUGCCAGUCUAGGGAACUCCCACAGGUCUAGAAACUACUGUUUGCCUCUAGCAAAAAUUAGGAGAAGAAAGUUUCCUUGCCUGUUAUUAAUUGCCAAAACAUAUGUGUCAAACUUUAAUUGAUACAAGAGCUUCUUGGGACAUUUACACAUGAAUGGAGAGAAAAAGGAGGCAAUAUCUAGGGUUUUGCCCUUAAUCGUCUUUUGUAAUUUUCUCAAGUAUAACAAAUGCUGAAUUCUCCAGAGGAAUAAACUCAAAGAUUUAGGAAACUUGGAUACCAACAAGACAUACCUUUUUCAUCUUUGCCAGGUGCUCUAGUUUGGAUGUUUGACUCCCCAAACCUCAUGUGGAAAUGUGAUCCCCAAUGUUGGAGGUGGGGGAAGGUGUUAGGGACAUGGGGACGGAUCCCUCAGGAACAGCAAAACGUCCUCCAGGUCUGAUUGUUAAAGAGAGCCUGGCACACCUCCUCCCCUUCUUGCUCUCUCUCUCUCUCUCUCUCUCUCUCUCCCUCUCUCUCUCUCUCUCCCUCUCCUCUCUCUCUUUCUCCCUUUCUCUCUCCCUCUUCCCCCCUCUCUUACCAUGUGAUUUCCGCUUCCCUUUGCCUUCCACCAUUAGUGGAAGCUUCCUGAGUUUCUCAUCAAAAUAGAUACUGGUGGCAUGCUUCUUGUACAGCUUGCAGAAUAGUACUUAGGGAAAUUUAUUUCCUUUUUUCUUGUUUUCUUUCUUUUUUCUUCCCCUUCCUCUUUCCUCCCUCACUCGCUCACUCCCUAACUCACUCUCUCUCUCUCUCACCUCUUGUUUUAUUGCAAAAUGUGUAUGUUGAGGGAGGUUGGCAUAUAUAAAUAUGAGAUAAACCUAAGAGACAACAUGAAAAGUUUCCUCAAGUAAAAAGCAUGGAAAGGGCCGGGCGCGGUGGCUCACCUGUAAUUCCAGCACUUUGGGAGGCUGAGGCGGGCAGAUCAUGAGGUCAGGAGAUCUAGACCAUCCUGGCUAAUACAAUGAAACCCCGUUUCUACUAAACGUACAAAAAAUUAGCCGGGCAUAGUGGCAGGUGCCUGUAAUCGCAGCUAUUCGGGAGACCGAGGCAGGGAAAUUGCUUGAACCCAGGAGGUGGAGGUUGCAGUGAGCCGAGAUCGCGCCACUGCACUCCAGCCUGGGUGACAGAGCGAGACUCUGUCUCAAAAAAAAAAAAAAAAAAAAAAGCAUGGAAAGAAGAAUGCUAACAGGAUUUAAGAGAGGGGAGGAUAAGAGGGAAGGAGAAACACCAAAAGCUUCAUGAGUACCUUUUUUUUUUUUUUAAUUAUACUUUAAGUUUUAGGGUACAUGUGCACAUUGUGCAGGUUAGUUACAUAUGUAUACAUGUGCCAUGCUGGUGUGCUGCACCCACUAACUCGUCAUCUAGCAUUAGGUAUAUCUCCCGAUGCUAACCCUCCCCCCUUCCCCCACCCCACAACAGUACCCAGAGUGUGAUAUUCC
rnacentral:lncRNA from 10 species